GGGUUGUGAGGUUAAGCGACUAAGCGUACACGGUGGAUGCCCUGGCAGUCAGAGGCGAUGAAGGACGUGCUAAUCUGCGAAAAGCGUCGGUAAGGUGAUAUGAACCGUUAUAACCGGCGAUGUCCGAAUGGGGAAACCCAGUGCAAUUCGUUGCACUAUCGUUAACUGAAUACAUAGGUUAACGAGGCGAACCGGGGGAACUGAAACAUCUAAGUACCCCGAGGAAAAGAAAUCAACCGAGAUUCCCCCAGUAGCGGCGAGCGAACGGGGAGCAGCCCAGAGUCUGAAUCAGCUUGUGUGUUAGUGGAACGGUCUGGAAAGUCCGACGGUACAGGGUGAUAGUCCCGUACACCAAAAUGCACAGGCUGUGAACUCGAAGAGUAGGGCGGGACACGUGGUAUCCUGUCUGAAUAUGGGGGGACCAUCCUCCAAGGCUAAAUACUCCUGACUGACCGAUAGUGAACCAGUACCGUGAGGGAAAGGCGAAAAGAACCCCGGCGAGGGGAGUGAAAAAGAACCUGAAACCGUGUACGUACAAGCAGUGGGAGCACCUUCGGGUGUGACUGCGUACCUUUUGUAUAAUGGGUCAGCGACUUAUAUUCUGUAGCAAGGUUAACCGUAUAGGGGAGCCGCAGGGAAACCGAGUCUUAACUGGGCGUUAAGUUGCAGGGUAUAGACCCGAAACCCGGUGAUCUAGCCAUGGGCAGGUUGAAGGUUGGGUAACACUAACUGGAGGACCGAACCGACUAAUGUUGAAAAAUUAGCGGAUGACUUGUGGCUGGGGGUGAAAGGCCAAUCAAACCGGGAGAUAGCUGGUUCUCCCCGAAAGCUAUUUAGGUAGCGCCUCGUGAACUCAUCUUCGGGGGUAGAGCACUGUUUCGGCUAGGGGGUCAUCCCGACUUACCAACCCGAUGCAAACUACGAAUACCGAAGAAUGUUAUCACGGGAGACACACGGCGGGUGCUAACGUCCGUCGUGAAGAGGGAAACAACCCAGACCGCCAGCUAAGGUCCCAAAGUCAUGGUUAAGUGGGAAACGAUGUGGGAAGGCACAGACAGCCAGGAUGUUGGCUUAGAAGCAGCCAUCAUUUAAAGAAAGCGUAAUAGCUCACUGGUCGAGUCGGCCUGCGCGGAAGAUGUAACGGGGCUAAACCAUGCACCGAAGCUGCGGCAGCGACACUAUGUGUUGUUGGGUAGGGGAGCGUUCUGUAAGCCUGCGAAGGUGACCUGUGAGGGUUGCUGGAGGUAUCAGAAGUGCGAAUGCUGACAUAAGUAACGAUAAAGCGGGUGAAAAGCCCGCUCGCCGGAAGACCAAGGGUUCCUGUCCAACGUUAAUCGGGGCAGGGUGAGUCGACCCCUAAGGCGAGGCCGAAAGGCGUAGUCGAUGGGAAACAGGUUAAUAUUCCUGUACUUGGUGUUACUGCGAAGGGGGGACGGAGAAGGCUAUGUUAGCCGGGCGACGGUUGUCCCGGUUUAAGCAUGUAGGCUGAUUGUCCAGGCAAAUCCGGAUAAUCAAGGCUGAGGUGUGAUGACGAGGCACUACGGUGCUGAAGUAACAAAUGCCCUGCUUCCAGGAAAAGCCUCUAAGCAUCAGGUAACAUCAAAUCGUACCCCAAACCGACACAGGUGGUCAGGUAGAGAAUACCAAGGCGCUUGAGAGAACUCGGGUGAAGGAACUAGGCAAAAUGGUGCCGUAACUUCGGGAGAAGGCACGCUGGUGUGUAGGUGAAGUCCCUGCGGAUGGAGCUGAGACCAGUCGAAGAUACCAGCUGGCUGCAACUGUUUAUUAAAAACACAGCACUGUGCAAACACGAAAGUGGACGUAUACGGUGUGACGCCUGCCCGGUGCCGGAAGGUUAAUUGAUGGGGUUAUCCGUAAGGAGAAGCUCUUGAUCGAAGCCCCGGUAAACGGCGGCCGUAACUAUAACGGUCCUAAGGUAGCGAAAUUCCUUGUCGGGUAAGUUCCGACCUGCACGAAUGGCGUAAUGAUGGCCAGGCUGUCUCCACCCGAGACUCAGUGAAAUUGAACUCGCUGUGAAGAUGCAGUGUACCCGCGGCAAGACGGAAAGACCCCGUGAACCUUUACUAUAGCUUGACACUGAACAUUGAGCCUUGAUGUGUAGGAUAGGUGGGAGGCUUUGAAGCGUGGACGCCAGUCUGCGUGGAGCCAACCUUGAAAUACCACCCUUUAAUGUUUGAUGUUCUAACGUUGGCCCCUUAUCGGGGUUGCGGACAGUGUCUGGUGGGUAGUUUGACUGGGGCGGUCUCCUCCCAAAGCGUAACGGAGGAGCACGAAGGUUAGCUAAUCCUGGUCGGACAUCAGGAGGUUAGUGCAAUGGCAUAAGCUAGCUUGACUGCGAGCGUGACGGCGCGAGCAGGUGCGAAAGCAGGUCAUAGUGAUCCGGUGGUUCUGAAUGGAAGGGCCAUCGCUCAACGGAUAAAAGGUACUCCGGGGAUAACAGGCUGAUACCGCCCAAGAGUUCAUAUCGACGGCGGUGUUUGGCACCUCGAUGUCGGCUCAUCACAUCCUGGGGCUGAAGUAGGUCCCAAGGGUAUGGCUGUUCGCCAUUUAAAGUGGUACGCGAGCUGGGUUUAGAACGUCGUGAGACAGUUCGGUCCCUAUCUGCCGUGGGCGCUGGAGAAUUGAGGGGGGCUGCUCCUAGUACGAGAGGACCGGAGUGGACGCAUCACUGGUGUUCGGGUUGUCAUGCCAAUGGCACUGCCCGGUAGCUAAAUGCGGAAGAGAUAAGUGCUGAAAGCAUCUAAGCACGAAACUUGCCCCGAGAUGAGUUCUCCCUGAGACUUUAAGUCUCCUGAAGGAACGUUAAAGACGAUGACGUUGAUAGGCCGGGUGUGUAAGCGCAGCGAUGCGUUGAGCUAACCGGUACUAAUGAACCGUGAGGCUUAACCUUACAACGCCGAAG
rnacentral:rRNA from 1 species